rnacentral:rRNA from 1 species
GAGUGAACGCUGGCGGUAGGCCUAACCCAUGCAAGUCGAACGGCAGCACAGUAAGAGCUUGCUCUUACGGGUGGCGAGUGGCGGACGGGUGAGGAAUACAUCGGAAUCUACUUUUUCGUGGGGGAUAACGUAGGGAAACUUACGCUAAUACCGCAUACGACCUACGGGUGAAAGCAGGGGAUCUUCGGACCUUGCGCGAUUGAAUGAGCCGAUGUCGGAUUAGCUAGUUGGCGGGGUAAAGGCCCACCAAGGCGACGAUCCGUAGCUGGUCUGAGAGGAUGAUCAGCCACACUGGAACUGAGACACGGUCCAGACUCCUACGGGAGGCAGCAGUGGGGAAUAUUGGACAAUGGGCGCAAGCCUGAUCCAGCCAUACCGCGUGGGUGAAGAAGGCCUUCGGGUUGUAAAGCCCUUUUGUUGGGAAAGAAAAGCAGCAGGUUAAUACCCCGCCGUUCUGACGGUACCCAAAGAAUAAGCACCGGCUAACUUCGUG